rnacentral:rRNA from 1 species
UUGUAAGUGUCUAAGGGCGCAUGGUGGAUGCCUUGGCAUCGAGAGCCGAUGAAGGACGUGGGAGGCUGCGAUAUGCCUCGGGGAGCUGUCAACCGAGCGUGGAUCCGAGGAUUUCCGAAUGGGGAAACCCAGCACGAGUGAUGUCGUGCUACCCGCAUCUGAAUAUAUAGGGUGCGGGAGGGAACGCGGGGAAGUGAAACAUCUCAGUACCCGUAGGAGGAGAAAACAAUUGUGAUUCCGCAAGUAGUGGCGAGCGAACGCGGAACAGGCUAAACCGCACGCAUGGGUAACCGGGUAGGGGUUGUGUGUGCGGGGUUGUGGGAGGAUAUGUCUCAGCGCUACCCGGCUGAGAGGCAGUCAGAAAGUGUCGUGGUUAGCGGAAGUGGCCUGGGAUGGUCUGCCGUAGACGGUGAGAGCCCGGUACGCGAAAACCCGGCACCUGCCUAGUAUCAAUUCCCGAGUAGCAGCGGGCCCGUGGAAUCCGCUGUGAAUCCGCCGGGACCACCCGGUAAGCCUAAAUACUCCUCGAUGACCGAUAGCGGAUUAGUACCGUGAGGGAAUGGUGAAAAGUACCCCGGGAGGGGAGUGAAAGAGUACCUGAAACCGUGUGCCUACAAUCCGUCAGAGCCUCCUUUUCCUCUCCGGAGGAGGGUGGUGAUGGCGUGCCUUUUGAAGAAUGAGCCUGCGAGUCAGGGACAUGUCGCAAGGUUAACCCGUGUGGGGUAGCCGCAGCGAAAGCGAGUCUGAAUAGGGCGACCCACACGCGCAUACGCGCGUGUGAAUAGUGGCGUGUUCUGGACCCGAAGCGGAGUGAUCUACCCAUGGCCAGGGUGAAGCGCGGGUAAGACCGCGUGGAGGCCCGAACCCACUUAGGUUGAAGACUGAGGGGAUGAGCUGUGGGUAGGGGUGAAAGGCCAAUCAAACUCCGUGAUAGCUGGUUCUCCCCGAAAUGCAUUUAGGUGCAGCGUUGCGUGGUUCACCGCGGAGGUAGAGCUACUGGAUGGCCGAUGGGCCCUACUAGGUUACUGACGUCAGCCAAACUCCGAAUGCCGUGGUGUAAAGCGUGGCAGUGAGACGGCGGGGGAUAAGCUCCGUACGUCGAAAGGGAAACAGCCCAGAUCGCCGGCUAAGGCCCCCAAGCGUGUGCUAAGUGGGAAAGGAUGUGCAGUCGCAAAGACAACCAGGAGGUUGGCUUAGAAGCAGCCACCCUUGAAAGAGUGCGUAAUAGCUCACUGGUCAAGUGAUUGUGCGCCGAUAAUGUAGCGGGGCUCAAGCACACCGCCGAAGCCGCGGCACAUCCACCUUGUGGUGGGUGUGGGUAGGGGAGCGUCCCUCAUUCAGCGAAGCCACCGGGUGACCGGUGGUGGAGGGUGGGGG